rnacentral:lncRNA from 1 species
CUCCCUGAAGAUGGCUGCAGAGGCCCAGGGCCGCGCUCCGCGAUGCUGACAACGUACCCUGGGCUGCGCCCGGGACUGGAGACGCGGGUCACCUGCCUCCGCGCCGCCUGGUCUCAGCAGUCCGGGGGACGCGCGCUACCAAGAGUGGAGAAUCCGAGUGGGGCGGGCCUAGUCCCGGGGCUGGGAAGAGAUAGUCGCAUGGACUGGGCGCCAAGAAGCCUGCUGAUCGCGCGCGCCCCACGGCCGCCCUGGUGAUGCAGAGGGGUGGCGUGAGAUGCUCGUGGAGCUGCGGCUGGUUCGGAGUGGAUGGGCAGAGUUCCCCUCUGAAAUUUCAUGAAGAUGCGUCUCCCACUCUCCACCGAAGUACUCAACGACCAGCACACGCAUACAAUUUUGAUGGAGUUUUUUGUUUUUUGUUAUGUUUUUUUAGCUCACCAGAAACUCAGAGAGUAAAGAAAUACUGUUAAAGGAAGUUCCUAAACUAGGCAGACAGUAUAACCCUGUGUGGUUUUCUUGGUGCAAGUGUUAGAAACAAAACCGAUACCAAGCAAGGAAGGAGGCCAGCCAACGUCAUUGGUCAACAGGUUGGCCAAUUCUUUCCUUCAUUUAUCCCUCUGAAUGCCUAGGUGCCAGCCUGAGAUAGGCACUGGAUUACCACAGGGGUAAACAAGAGCAGGGCUCCUGCGGUCACAAAGACAGCCUAGUGGGAAAGUUUGUCAUUAACCGAGGAAACAUGCUAUUAAAGGGAUAACUAAAAACUGAACACAGAUCUGUGAGACCCUGACAGCUACAGGGGUUCAGGAUGUAAUCCGGGAAGGUUUGCCUGAAGAAGUGGCAUCUGAGCUGAGACCUGGAGGAUGACAUUAACUAGGCAAGGAGGAAAACCAUGUGCUAAGUGGUCUCCCACAGAAGGGAACAUGAUGUAUUGGAGGAAUUUAAGGAAGGCUAGUGUGGGUAAAGCGCGGAGAACCGCGUGGGGGAUGAUGGGAAGUGGGGCUAAAGGAGGAGGCAGGGGUCAUAUUACUCAGGUUAUUAUAGGCCAGAGGCCUUCAAACACUUUUUGAGAAGGCCCAUAAUGAGAAAAGUUUGAUGAAAUAAUUCUUAUGCUUAUGAUUGGCAUUGCAAUUUCAUAUUUCUGUUCUACUUCACUUUUUUAAAAAAGUGCUGGUGUUGACCCACUAAAUUGUUUCUAUGAGCCACUAAUGGCUCAUGACCUGCAGUUUGGAAAAAAUAUUGUAAAUCAUGUUGAGGAUUUUCAUCUUUUAAAGGUGGUGACUCGAUUCUUUUUGCUAUCAGGGAAGAGACUGGUAGAUUGAAGUGGCACAGAAUAAAUGGGUGGCUCACACCUGUAACCCCAGCACUUUGGGAGGCUGAGGCAGGCGGAUCACCUGAGGUCGGGAGUUUGAGACCAGCCUGGCCAACUUGGUGAAACCCGUCUCUACUAAAAACACAAAAAAAUUAGCUGGGUGUGGUGGCGGGCACCUGUAAUCCCAGCUGCUUGGGAGGCUGAGGCAGGAGAAUCGCUUGAACCCAGGAGGCGGAGGUUGCAGUGAGCCAAAAUUGUGCCACUGCAUUCCAGCCUGGGCAACAGAGCCAGACUUUGUCUCAAAAAAGAAAAGGAAAAGAAAAGAAAAACACCCCAUAAUUGCCACAAUCCAGAUAAGAGAUGGUAGCUUGGACCAGGAUGGUAGGAUGGUGGCAGCAGAGAUAGGGUCAAGGCAGCUACCCAGGGCCAGGGCCUGUGCUCAUCUUACGAUGUCAUCUGUUUCCCCAGUGUGCCACUACAGGGACUGAGACCAGAGCCUGUUGAUUCUGGCCUAAGCUGGCACAGCCAGUGAGUCCUAAGACAGAUUUGAAACAGGUCUCUCUGCUUCCCAAGCCUGGCCUUUUCUUUUAACUCACAGCGCAUCUGUAAGGUGAGCCCAUAAAGAAGGAAGCUCUUCAAGAGAUUAUACAUUGGAACUUAAGAACAAAUUUCUUACAGGUUUUAAUUCCGGAAAAUGUUGACUAUGUUUGGUCCCAGAAAUGAAACCAAAGUUUGUAUCUUAGUUUUUUUAAAAAAAGGAGGGGACACAUUUAGUGUGAUGUCACAGAAGAGGCUAGACUUGAAGUCCCCUUUGAUCUGGAUGAUGACCCUGAUCAUCUGGUACUAGUAUCUCAGUCAUCUCAUCCUUGUAGGCUUCAAUCAAGUCCUCCCACAGGGACAAUGCUGCUCCUGGGAUGCUGGGAGGAUUAUAGGUUUUACAGGAUUUUAAAAAUAUUUACAUUAUUUUAUAAGGUUGAAUAUAGGGUUCCCCAAUGUUGACUUAUGAUGUCUACCAUAAAGAUAUAUAAACACAGUUGAACAACUAGAAAUCCAUCCCUCUCUUCUCUGAGUUCUUUAAACAUUUAUCUGUUAUGAUACUUAUCAUGGUAGAGUGUUAAUAGUCCCUGUAUCUGUCUUCUUUAUUAAAUCAUGUGCUCCUAGGGACAAAGGUGGUUGGUGGAUCCCAGUGGCUACCACAAAAUCUGGAGUGAUUAGAUGCCAAAUAUGAUUAUGUUGUAUUUUAACAAAUGCAGAAAGUAUAAUACAAUCAUCAUUGGCCUUUAUGACUAAAGUAUUUAUAAGACUUUAAUUCACUUUCUCAAAAUUUCUUGAUGCCUGCCCGCCACCUCUGAUAAGCAUAAAUAUCUCUGCCACUCAGUCCCUGUGGCAGACUUUAGUUUUUUCCCCAGCCCUCUAUCAGUGACUGACACACAUAUAACACUGAACAUUUGUACAUCCCACAGCCAGGAUGAUUUUGUUUAUUUUCUUUAGUUUAUAGUACAAGACAAUAGAUUUUUCUUCCAUGUGCUUGCCUUCCACAGAUAAAAUAUUACUUUUGCAAAUUACAAAUGUUCUCACCCCAAGAUUCUGGAACAACCUACAAGUGCAAGACUGACACAGACCUUGGCAUCACAGAACUUGAAGUAUGGUACGGAGGACAGACAGACAAGCAAUUACAAUACAGCAUGAGAAAUGCUCUGAUAAGGGAAGUACUGUGUGUUGUGUUGCAGAGAAGUAUAAUUUAGGCGGAGAAGCUCUGGAAAGACAAUGGGAAUGGUGGAAAAUCAUACUUAAUUAUGAGAUAUGUUGAAACAUCAUUCACAAACUAGAAUAACAAUUAAUUUCUAGACCCCUAGAGCUACUUCUUUGGCUCUCCUCUCUUGUCUCUCUAGCACAUAUAAGGAAUUGCCAAAUGAUUAGGAAGCUAAUACAGUUUGGAUUACCAGGAGAGGUGAGGAAGCUGAGGAGUAGUUCCUAUUGGGGUUAGAAUGCCUGAUUUUUUUUUCUAACAAUGACCAAAUCAAAGAGAGCCUGCCUGGCUGAACCCAUGUGUGGGUGGCAGACAGUGUUUUACUGAGUCAAGAGAGUUGCUGAUGCAUAAGCAGCAGGAGGUUGAGUCAUGUUUACCUGAAAUGUGGGCAGAGCUGUCUUCUUUCUAGUAAAGCUAAAUGUGGAUGAUGUUUAAAAAUAAUAGCAGUUGUUGUUUAAUGGGUAUAGAAAUUGAAAUUUGCAAGAUGAAAAAGUUCUUGAGAUCUUUUUCACAACAAUGUGAAUAUACUUAACAUUUAAAAAAUGGUUAGGAUGAUUAGUUUGAUGUUUUGGGUCUUUUACCACAUUAAAUAGAAAAAACUAAUAUCAGACUUCACAUCAAUAUGGAUGUGGAUAGAGGAGAAACUUAUUCCUUCAUUCAGCAAAUACCGAGUGGACCCCACAGGCCAGGCUCAGUGCAGAUUGCUGGGGCCACAGAGGGUAUAAAACAUGGUCUCAGCCAUCCUGGAACCCACAAUCUCAGCUUACCACCAGGUCAUCUCUAUUUUCAACACAGAACUUUAUACAUUUAUUUCAGAAAUACACCUGCCUAAGUAACAAUUUCAUUGUAAUUACUUAUGAGUUAAAACAAUUGCUAUUUAUUUUAAUUGGUAGAAAAAAAUAGGGAAAACAUUUAGUCCCAUCUCUAAGUCUGUAUGUGUCUGUCUUAGUUGACAUGUAACAGCAUCAGGGAAUUAUAAAAGACUCCCAAACAAAAAGACAGACAAAUGGAAAAACCACAGGUCUUGGCAUCAGGAGGUUUUGGUUUAAAUUUGAGCUCGGCCACUUACAAGCUAUUUGAGCUCUCUGAGCCUCAAAUUCCUCAUCUGUAAAAUGGGAAUAGUAAUACCUAUUUUGUAUUAUUGACAUGAGAAUUAAAUGAGAUAACCAAUAUGAAGCAUCUAACCUAUAGCAAAACUCAAUAAAUGCUAGUCCUUUCUUUCAUCUCUAUAAGUAGAUGGGCAGAGUUUCACUUAGAGAAAACAGAAUUAUGAAAAUCUGGAACUUACAAGACAAGUAUUUUAGGGCUCUGGUUUAUAAUUUCAGAAAGAGUAAAUUCAGUUUAUAAACUGGUUAGCUUCAGGAUGCAACCUGACAAUUCAAUUCCAAAUCAAGAUAGGACCUCUGAAGCACAGAACCUUUCCAGUACAACUCCCUAAGACCAAAAUACCCUUGAUCCAUUGACUUUGAUUAAGUCUCAGGCAGUUUUCCAAUGCAAUAGCAGUGGGAUCAUUGUGGGCAGAGGAACACUCCUUAAGAAAAUGCCUAUGUGUAGGAGGCGACAAAGAGAGAUAGACACAUUCUCUUUCGUGGUUUGCAAUGUUAACUUCCAUAAGGUUCAGGCAACUAAGUAAAAUUAGAAAAAAAAAGCACAUUGGUAGAUAUUAAGAAACACCUUCCCUUGUAGAGGUGAGAUGACAGUAUUCUGAAGAUGAAGCAGGAGGGGAGCAGAAAAUCCUAGUGGUUCAUGCUUAGUUAGACCCAGGAGGUUCUUGGUUUGUAACCAUGGAGGUUUACGAUUUGUCUAAAAAGGCUUUAUUAAGAAAAAUGAAAAGGAGCAGAAGGAACCGUCUAUGUCCAUUGACAUAUCUAUUGAAUUCUUAGGCUUGCUACCUGGUUCCCCUGGGUCCAAAUUUUGGCCACCAGCAGUGACUAGAUGACUUGUCAUUUUCACCAUAGACCUGAAUAUUAUUGCUUGUGACCCCUUGAAGAUGCCUCUUCCUGGUGCUUCCUUCCACCUCCCACCAACAGCUCCGCCUACGUUUCCAAUGGCAUCUAGAUGGUGGACUCAGUUUCUGGGCCUUUUGCAGGCCCGUCCCCCUCACCUUGCCCAGUGCAGAGUGAGCCCUUGUCCCUUGCAGCAAGUUUUGUUAUUAAAG